rnacentral:rRNA from 1 species
GAUGACGCUGGCGGCGUGCUUACACAUGCAGUCGAACGAAGCGUAUUCAAGUGAAGUUUUCGGAUGAAGCGAGGAUAUGACUUAGUGGCGGACGGGUGAGUAACGCGUGGGCAACCUGCCUUUCACAGCGGGAUAACAGAGGGAAGCUUCUGCUAAUACCGCAUAUACCUUUUUAACGCAUGUUAGGGAGGGGAAAGAGUUAUCGGUGAGAGAUGGGCCCGCGUCCG